UUAAAGUUUAAUUUUAACUUAAAAUAAUUUAUUUUUAUUUUAUUUUACAUGUAAAUUUUUGUAAGAAUAAAAUUUUAUUUUAAUAAUAUUUUUUAUUUAUUUUAUUCUCAGUAAUUAAUUUUAUUUAUGAAAGAAAUUUUGAAUUAGUAAAUUAUAUAAUAUUAGUAAAAAUUGUGCCAGCAACUGCGGUUAUACAAUUAAUAUAAAUAAAUUAGUUUAUUUAGAGUUAAAAUGAAUUAUUUAAAUAUAGAAUUAAAUUUAUUAGGUUAAAUUUUAAAUUUAUAUAAUUUUUAUUUUAUGAUUAUUUUAAGCUCAAAAAUUUUAUUAAUAAACUAGGAUUAGAUACCCUAUUAUUUAAAAAAUAAUUUAAUUAAAUAGAGUAGUAUUAGUUAUAUUCUUAAAACUUAAAAAAUUUGGCGGUAUUUUAAUCUAUUCAGAGGAACUUGUUUUAUAAUUGAUAAUCCUCAUUUAAUCUUACUUAAUUUUAUUAAAUUUGUAUACCGUUGUCAUCAGAAUUUCUUUAAAAAGUAAUAAUUUUCUAAAAUUUUUAUUAAUAAUAAUGUCAAAUCAAGGUGCAGUUUAUAAUUAAGUAAAAAUGAGUUACAAUAAAUUUAUUUAUUACGAAUUAAAAAUUGAAAUAUUUUUAUAAAGGAGGAUUUGAUAGUAAAAUAAAAUUAAUAAUUUUAUUUGAUUAUAGUUCUAAAAUAUGCACAUAUCGCCCGUCGCUCUCGUUCUUUAAAAUGAGAUAAGUCGUAACAUAGUAGAGGUACUGGAAAGUGUCUCUAGAUUACA
rnacentral:ncRNA from 1 species